UUAUUCCCUGAGUCAAUCACAAUGUAGGAGGAGUAGAAUGGCCAAUUCCUGCAUAUCAUGGGUACAUAGCUCCUUGUAGAUAGGUUAGCAGGUUAAUGCUAGCAUGAUCCCAAAAUUAUGAUAAAAUAAUGCCAUUUAUAAAACCAAGUAAAACCAUCCAUAUGUACACAACCAUACACACACAUAUAUAUAACCAUCCUGGAAAAAGGGACCAGGUUUAGCAUGCCUUUAAAACCUUUACUUAGGUUAUAUAGCUUUACCAUCCUAAAAUGUACACGGGGCUAUAUGGGUUCAGCUCUCCCUGUUGAAAGGGCCCUAGUGUGUAUAACUGUAUAACUAGGGUAGAAAACCUGGGAUGAAUGGUAUAUACCUUAAUAUAGAGUGUAACAUCAUGCACCCAUGCACCCAGUCACC
rnacentral:lncRNA from 1 species